rnacentral:rRNA from 1 species
UACGAAGGGGCUAGCGUUGUUCGGAAUUACUGGGCGUAAAGCGCGCGCAGGCGGCCAUUCAAGUCAGGGGUGAAAGCCCAGAGCUCAACUCUGGAACUGCCCUUGAACUGUAUGGCUUGAGUAUGAGAGAGGUGAGUGGAAUUCCCAGUGUAGAGGUGAAAUUCGUAGAUAUUGGGAAGAACACCGGUGGCGAAGGCGGCUCACUGGCUCGAUUACUGACGCUCAGGCGCGACAGCGUGGGGAUCAAACAGG